CAGCACCUCAAGUGGUCAGGAUGAUUAUUGGGCCUAAAGCGUCCGUAGCCGGCGCUGUAAGUUUUCGGUUAAAUCUGUACGCUCAACGUACAGGCUGCCGGGAAUACUGCAGCGCUAGGGAGUGAGAGAGGUAGACGGUACUCGGUAGGAAGGGGUAAAAUCCUUUGAUCUAUUGAUGACCACCUGUGGCGAAGGCGGUCUACCAGAACACGUCCGACGGUGAGGGAUGAAAGCUGGGGGAGCAAACCGGAUUAGAUACCCGAGUAGUCC
rnacentral:rRNA from 1 species